GCCCUUACUGCUCAGUAACACGUAGUCAACCUGCCCUAGAGACAUGGACAACCCCGGGAAACUGGGAUUAAUCCGUGAUAGGUCAUCUCAUCUGGAAGGAGAGAUGGCUUAAAGGGGUACGCGGGCUUCUUCUGCGUAUUCGCUCUAGGAUGGGACUGCGUCCGAUCAGGCUGUUGGCGGGGUAAUGGCCCACCAAACCUGUAACCGGUACGGGCCUUGAGAGAGGUGGCCCGGAGAUGGACACUGAGAGAAGGGUCCAGGUCCUACGGGGCGCAGCAGGCGCGAAACCUUCGCAAUGCGCGAAAGCGUGACGAGGUUAAUCCGAGUGACUUCCGCUGAGGAGGUCUUUUGUCAGCUGUAAAUAGGCAGGCGAAUAAGGGGAGGGCAAGCCUGGUGUCAGCCGCCGCGGUAAUACCAGCUCCUCGAGUGGUCGGGGCGAUUAUUGGGCCUAAAGCAUCCGUAGCCGGUUCCGUAGGUCCUCUGUUAAAUCCAACAGCUCAACUGUUGACCUGCAGAGGAUACCGCGGGACUAGGAGGCGGGAGAGGCGGACGGUACUCCGCGUGUAGGGGUAAAAUCCUUUGAUCCGCGGAAGACCACCAGUGGCGAAGGCGGUCCGCCAGAACGCGCUCGACGGUGAGGGAUGAAAGCUGGGGGAGCGAACCGGAUUAGAUACCCGGGUAGUCCCAGCCGUAAACGAUGCUAGCUAGAUGAUUCAUUCGCAAGUCGCGAAUGAAGUGUCGCAGGGAAGCCGUUAAGCUAGCCGCCUGGGGAGUACGGUCGCAAGACUGAAACUUAAAGGAAUUGGC
rnacentral:rRNA from 1 species